UGUUUGGAUGUUGUGAGUCCAAAAGUUCCUGAUCUGCUGCCAAAGCAAAGAGAUGAAAGGAUCAGAUCUGAGACCUUCAGCCUGGAACAACAUUUACUCUCAUCUUCAACAUCAAAGGUCGUUUCCAGAUUUAUUUUCUCAGGAAGUUCCUGGUUGCGCAGCUUCCUGUCCUCAGCUGUACAGGAAGUGGUCCUGAUGGCGGGGAGCGACAACUUCCUGUUCGCUGAAGAGGCUGGAGCUGCUGGAGGGGACGCCGCCGACGAUGGGGAGGUUAAAAAGUUUUAAACGUCUGAAGACGUCCAGACCUUCUAGAGCCUCCGGACCGGGCCAGAACCGGACCGGGCCAGAACCGGACCGGAGGCUCCUCACCUCCAUCCGGUGCUGCAGAACCUCCCGUCUGAGCGGGUCCAGGAUCUGCCAGGAGGUCAGAACCAGCAGGUCCAACAGGAGGAUCCAGAGCUGAACACGGCCCGUUUCCUGCAGCUGGUUCUGGUUCUGGAAACACAGAGACGUCAGCAUUCCCUCUGGACCCGCUGGACCCGGAGCGGUCCUACCUUCAGCUGGACGCUGCAGACGGAGUAGACCCUCCAGGUUCUGAGCAGAAUAUCUCCAGCACCGGGUCCGGCAGCGAGGUCCGGUCCAGUCCAGAGAACAGGACCGAGCCGGAGGACAGCAGGAGGCCCAGCAGGAGCAGCUCAUCCUGGGGAGACGCUCCGGGCCGCCGGGGCCUGG